GUCGUAUUUACGUACCUCACUUACACUCGGAGUUCUUUUCAUGUUGCCGCGUGUCGUUUGAAUGGUUCAGCCGCGGGACAUCGUUUGAAGUGUCUCUGUGGGGCGGCCCGUCAUGUCUGUCUUGCGCUCGUGUUACCUUCUGACGGUCGUCGCGACUGUGGCGUCAGCGGCAGUGUUUGUGCAGAAGGUCCCUGUUGAAAACGGUAUGUGUCUCACGAAGAAGGGAGCGAAAAGACACGGAGAAGUCUUCUACGAUAUCGAAAGUUGUCGGAAACACGAAUGCAAUGCCCGCCGAAGCGCCGUAGAUAUUUACGCGUGUUCUCCAGCGGCAUUCGAGGUGGUCGGCAGGACAUGCACCAUUGUUGGGUUCCAAAGAGGCUUCUAUCCGGAAUGCUGCAAGGCAAGAGUGAUGUGCGAAGGACAGAAAGCAAAGUCAAUAAAAUGUGGCUGAUGAGC